CUGCCCAGACCCAGAUUGACCAGCAUUAGGAAGAACAUGACAGACCAAAAGGGUGAGGCUGGGAAAUGGGUCAUGGCUUCAGUGAAGGCGAUGAAGGCCAAGCCUGUGCCCUGCACAGCCUGUGAGAAAAAAGAUAAAGAAGACUGGAUGCCCUUCAUCAUAGCAAGACACACCAUGGUCCAAGCAGCCAACAGGCACAAAGUCAUCCUCCAGUUAAGUCCUCCACUCUCAGAGAUGGAAUCAGAGAUGUCCAAGGCCACACGAUACCAGUAGGGACACUCGUGCCAAGGAAGAGGCUGCUGGAAGGAUUGUGAGAAGUAGAAGAGACUCCAACCGAUGAUGACAUUGUAGUAAAGAGCCACAAAAAAGCACACCUGCAAUAAAAGAGAAUGCAGUCAAAUGUAUAUGCUGCAGCUUAUACUCUUUGAAAGAUUUAAUUAGGUGCCUUUCUCCUGGGUAAAGACAGUAUCGGACUUAGGCUAUUUUUAUACAGUGCACUUGAAGUAAGGUGCGUCCUUAUGAAAGCACUGAUAUUCACCAAACAGCUGGCGAAGCCGAUGCCACCCAGACGUGGGCUGAUGUAGUUCCACACCCCAAUACUGCCUCUUCGGAUGCGCUGGCCCACUGCUAGCUCCAGGAAGAAGAGGGGAAUCCCUAUCACCACCAGCAGAAUGAGGUAGGGAACCAGAUACGCUCCUACAAAAGGAGAACUUAUGGUUAUGGCCCUAUUUAUUUAGGAACCAAACUUCCAAACUUCUUGUUAUGCACAGGACUUGAGAUAUACAAUUUUUUUUCUAGUAAUGCAUUUAUUAAAAGUAAAUAUUAACAUCAAACUUAUAGGUGUGUUCUCUAUUGAUUAGAAAACACAUUCAGCUGUAGAUGCACAAAUAUGCUACUAAAAAUACAUGUUUUUUGCAAUUCUUCGACAGGGAGUUGAUAUAUAUUGUGUAUAUCUAAAUGAAAUAAAAGUUGUUACUCAAAAUAUGCCAUCACCAUUUAAACUUAAAAUAUGUUUAUGCUGUUUAUGCCACCUUUAACAGCAAGAACUGCAAACUUUUCUGAUAGCUAAAGAUCAGUCUUUUACAGCACAGUGGUUGAUUUUAGCUAGAGAAAAUACUGGUGUUCUUAUCAUUUUGGCCACCACUGUAUUCACACACGUGUGUGUGUUUGCUGUAUACAUGAUUUAUCCUGAAUAAUUGAUUUUGCAUUUCAUUUACAUCUGGAAGAGAAUGUCAUUGCAUUUGUGAUACAUCUGUAAAUGAUUAGGAAUACUACAGUCUGUUAAGGACAUUUACAAAGUGUUCAGCUCACUAUACUGUAACUAUUUUGAGAAGAGUGACCUGAGUUUGGAGAUGUGUGUUAAAAAAAAACUGUAAAGAAAAGAACUGUAAUAUUUUUUAUAUUUUAUUUAUAUUUUCAAAUUGAAUUGUAUUUUUUAAAUUAAACUUUACUUACUGUAAUUCGAUGUUCAAUGUUUUAGUAUGUCAAAAUGGUCAAGGCAACAUUUUACUUAACUUUCUAUUCUAGUAUUGUAUUCUUAACUGUGUGUAUUUUAAUGUAAGUUUAAAUGUCAUUGAUGUAUUUCUGUUCGGAGAAGUCGAAGACAAAUUUCCACUAAGGUGGACAAUAAAGUCUAAUGAAUGAA